AGUGAACGCUGGCGGUAGGCCUAACACAUGCAAGUCGAACGGCAGCACAGUAAGAGCUUGCUCUUACGGGUGGCGAGUGGCGGACGGGUGAGGAAUACAUCGGAAUCUACUUUUUCGUGGGGGAUAACGUAGGGAAACUUACGCUAAUACCGCAUACGACCUACGGGUGAAAGCGGGGGAUCUUCGGACCUUGCGCGAUUGAAUGAGCCGAUGUCGGAUUAGCUAGUUGGCGGGGUAAAGGCCCACCAAGGCGACGAUCCGUAGCUGGUCUGAGAGGAUGAUCAGCCACACUGGAACUGAGACACGGUCCAGACUCCUACGGGAGGCAGCAGUGGGGAAUAUUGGGCAAUGGGCGCAAGCCUGAUCCAGCCAUACCGCGUGGGUGAAGAAGGCCUUCGGGUUGUAAAGCCCUUUUGUUGGGAAAGAAAAGCAGCAGGUUAAUACCCCGCUGUUCUGACGGUACCCAAAGAAUAAGCACCGGCUAACUUCGUG
rnacentral:rRNA from 1 species